UUUGUAACCAGUGUGAACAGA
rnacentral:piRNA from 1 species